AGUAAUUCUCGUGCUAAUACAUGAAAUUUUAAUAAUCUCAAAUUAAAUCAGAUUAUUUUUAAUACCUUUUAAUAGGUAAUCCAAUCGAAUGAGUGACCUAUCAGGCCAGUACUUAGGGUCUUUACCUAAUUAAGCUAUCACGGGUAACGGGCGGUUACCGUCGUACUGCCGGAGAAGGCGCCUGAGAGAUAGCGACUAUAUCCACGGGUAGCAGCAGGCGCGAAACUUACCCACUCGAGACUAUCGGAGGUGGUAAUGACCAGUUAUAAUUAAGGAAUUUUCCUUAUUAUAUAGGAAUAUACUUUUCCAGUAUAUUGUAACCUAGCAGAGGGCCAGUCUGGUGCCAGCAGCUGCGGUAAUUCCAGCUCUGCAAGUUUGCUCCCAUAUUGUUGUAGUUAAAACGCUCGUAGUCUGAAUUAUUUUAAUUUAAAUUUUUUAAAUUAAAAUUUAGUUUUUAUUUUAUAAAAACGUUCACUGUGAACAAAUCAGAACGCUUAAAGUAAUUUUCUUUAUUGAAUGAUUUAGCGCAGUAUGAAAUUUUUACUUUUUAAAUUUUAAUUAAUUUAACAAGUAAUAUCAAAGAGAAUAAUCGGGGAUAGAUCUAUUUCAUGGCGAACAGCGAAAUGUUUUGACCCAUGAGAGAGAAACGAAGGCGAAAGCAUCUAUCAAGUGUAUUUCUAUCGAUCAAGGGCGAGAGUAGGAGUAUCCAACCGGAUCAGAGACCCGGGUAGUUCCUACCUUAAACUAUGCCGACAAGGUUUUGUUUUUUUUAAUAAAAGCAGUACCAUAGGAGAAAUCAUAGUUCAUGGGCUCUGGGGGAACUACGACCGCAAGGCUGAAACUUGAAGGAAUUGACGGAAGGGCACACCAGGGGUGGAGCUUGUGGCUUAAUUUGAAUCAACACGGGAAAACUUACCAGGACCAGAUAUUUUUAAUGACUGAUCAGGCUAUAGGUCUUUCAGGAUAUGAUUUUUGGUGGUGCAUGGCCGUUGGUGGUGCGUGGGUUGACCUGUCUAGCGUUGAUUCAGAUAACGAGCGAGAUUAUCACCAAUUAAAUAUAUAAAUAUUUUUAUUAAAAUAAUUUA
rnacentral:rRNA from 1 species